CGCUGAAAGCAUCUAAGCGUGAAACCUUCCACAAGAUGAGUUUACUUUUAAGGGCCGUCGUAGACGACGACGUUGAUAGGCUAUAGGUAUAAAGGUGGUAACAUCAAAGCCGAGUAGUACUAAUUGCCCGUACGCUUUAAUUUUUUUAAUUAAUAUUCAAUCU
rnacentral:rRNA from 1 species